ensembl:lncRNA
ACAGACCAUGGGACUGAAAAUGGCACCAUGGCUACAAUACAGUGUACCCUCAGACACGAGUAUACAGACUACUAUGCAGGCUCCUUAAGCCACAAUUAUGGAUCAUCGGUUGGGAAUCAACGUAUCGAGGCGUGGUGGUCCAUUUUGAGAAAAGGAAGGGCUCAAUUUUGGAUGGACCUGUUUGGAGACCUGAGAGACUCUGGACACUUUAAUGGCAGCCAUGAACAUCAGGACUUAUUGAGAUUCUGCUUCAGUAAUGUUCUGCAAAAAGACCUGGAUGAGAGCACAGACCUCUGGAAUAAGCACAGGAUUAGACUCUCCAGACUUGCAUCAUGUCCUGGGGGAAUUCCAGACGAACUCUCUUACCUCAUAGGUUUGGUUCAAGGGAAUGUGUAUUGGCAAUUGAAGACAGGGAACUGGAUACGUUUCCAGAGUCAAGGCAAACUCUUCAUUCAUGCAGUGAUCCAGACAUCCAGGAUUAUCUUCAACAGACUGUUGAGCAAAAUGGAUUACAGCAGCCACAUGAUUGGGAGUCAGCCUCAGAACUAUAUGUCACCUUGAAAGAAAUAGCUGGCCUAUAAAUAUGGUCUACUGCCGUCCACUCUUAAAGGCCAGAUGUUAAAGGAAAACAUUCUCAAAUGUGGCUUAGCUGUUUAUUGAGUAUCAUGUUUGGCAAGUGAAGUUCGGUAUAUGCAGUGUCAUACCAGAGUGGAGAC